rnacentral:tRNA from 1 species
AAUAGGGUGUCUGAUUUAAGUAAUAAAUUGUAAAUUUAUUUAAGGUUAAAAAUAUCCUCCUAUUA